rnacentral:rRNA from 1 species
GUCUCCAGUCAUGCCACCCUGAACAAUCCGAUGUCUGAUCUCGGAAGCUAAGCAGGGUUGGGCCUGGUUAGUACUUGGAUGGGAGACCACCUAAGAAGACCAGGUGCUGUAGGCA